CAGCCUGGCAGGAGAGGAGAGAGGUUAGGAUAUAGACACCAGGAGAGGAGAGAGGUUAGGAUAUAGACACCAGGAGAGGAGAGAGGUUAGGAUAUAGACACCAGGAGAGGAGAGAGGUUAGGAUAUAGACACCAGGAGAGGAGAGAGGUUAGGAUAUAGACACCAGGAGAGGAGAGAGGUUAGGAUAUAGACACCAGGAGAGGAGACAGGUUAGGAUAUAUAUACCAGGAGAGGAGAGAGGUUAGGAUAUAGACACCAGGAGAGGAGAGAGGUUAGGAUAUAGACACCAGGAGAGGAGAGAGGUUAGGAUAUAUAUACCAGGAGAGGAGAGAGGUUAGGAUAUAGACACCAGGAGAGGAGAGAGGUUAGGAUAUAGACACCAGGAGAGGAGAGAGGUUAGGAUAUAGACACCAGGAGAGGAGACAGGUUAGGAUAUAUACACAGUGAAGAGGAGAGAGGUUAGGAUAUAUACACCAGGAGAGGAGAGAGGUUAGGAUAUAGACACCAGGAGAGGAGAGAGGUUAGGAUAUAGACACCAGGAGAGGAGAGAGGUUAGGAUAUAGACACCAGGAGAGGAGAGAGGUUAGGAUAUAGACACCAGGAGAGGAGAGAGGUUAGGAUAUAGACACCAGGAGAGGAGAGAGGUUAGGAUAUAGACACCAGGAGAGGAGAGAGGUUAGGAUAUAGACACCAGGAGAGGAGAGAGGUUAGGAUAUAGACACCAGGAGAGGAGAGAGGUUAGGAUAUAGACACCAGGAGAGGAGAGAGGUUAGGAUAUAUACACCAGGAGAGGAGAGAGGUUAGGAUAUAUAUACCAGGAGAGGAGAGAGGUUAGGAUAUAUACACAGUGAAGAGGAGAGAGGUUAGGAUAUAUACACCGGGAGAGGAGAGAGGUUAGGAUAUAGACACCAGGAGAGGAGACAGGUUAGGAUAUAGACACCAGGAGAGGAGAGAGGUUAGGAUAUAUACACAGUGAAGAGGAGAGAGGUUAGGAUAUAUACACCAGGAGAGGAGAGAGGUUAGGAUAUAGACACCAGGAGAGGAGAGAGGUUAGGAUAUAUAUACCAGGAGAGGAGAGAGGUUAGGAUAUAUAUACCAGCACAGUCUGGCAGGAGAGGAGAGAGGUUAGGAUAUAUAUACCAGGAGAGGAGAGAGGUUAGGAUAUAGACACCAGGAGAGGAGAGAGGUUAGGAUAUAGACACCAGGAGAGGAGAGAGGUUAGGAUAUAGACACCAGGAGAGGAGAGAGGUUAGGAUAUAGACACCAGGAGAGGAGAGAGGUUAGGAUAUAGACACCAGGAGAGGAGAGAGGUUAGGAUAUAGACACCAGGAGAGGAGAGAGGUUAGGAUAUAGACACCAGGAGAGGAGACAGGUUAGGAUAUAUACACCAGGAGAGGAGAGAGGUUAGGAUAUAGACACCAGGAGAGGAGACAGGUUAGGAUAUAUACACCAGGAGAGGAGAGAGGUUAGGAUAUAGACACCAGGAGAGGAGAGAGGUUAGGAUAUAGACACCAGGAGAG